CGUCUUGUUGUAUUUCUCGCUGGUUUUCCUGAAAAGAGUUGGUUGUCAAAUCUUCAUCUGAUGCCACAGAGUUGGUAAUAUUUGCAACAUAUUUUUUGCUUACCAAUAUAUGUUCUUCCGACACUUCAUCUGAACCAUUUGUAGAGGGUAUCUUUACUGCAUCUGAACUCGAGGCAUUUUCCUGUUUGGCAGAAAUUUGUAAAUAAGUUUCACGAAGAGAUGCAAACUCAAGUUCAAAUAGCUUGAAAGUUUCUUGGCAUCAAGUUAUUACCUCAUGAGCUGCUAUGUCAACUGCAUUUGUCAUAUGAAGAUCCCUGAGGUAAAUUUCUUCUUCAUUUAACUCUGUAAUUUCUGCUUUGGUCUCAACAGCAUCAAUCUCUUUGGGUACCUGUAGAUUCCAUGAAAGGUGAAUCUGUGAUAGCAAUGUUUUGUUGUUUCCCCCUUAUUUUUAGGUCUACUAGGUUGUCAAUGCUGAAACGUCACAUAGCUACAACUAUCUGUUAGUUCAUAUUCAAACAAAUUUACAUCUCUAGUUGUACUUGUAAAUUUAAGUCUAUUAAAAAAAUUAUCCUCUUAAAUGUAUGUACCUUUUUCAUCCUUCAGUCAUGUAGUAUUUAUUUUCAUGCUUAACAGUGGUUUUCCUACCUAGUUGACAAUAAAGUUAAGAGUAUGAUUCUCACCUUAUCCUUAGAAGUUUCUUCACUCAGAUCAGUUGGAUCAGUUGUUUCGUCCUCUUUUUCCUCGGCCAUGUUUCCUGUAGGAUCUGCGAUUAGGCUUUGCUCCUCUAGAGAACUAAUUUCUCUAUCUUCACAUGAAGCAGGUGCUUUAAUAUCCCCGUCUGCAAAUUGCAUAGACUCGGUUUCUUCUUUUAUCAGUGUACCUUCUGCAGUUUUCUCAUUUUCAAACAAGUUUGCUUUUAU
rnacentral:lncRNA from 1 species